UCUGAUCUAUAGGGGUGCGCAGUGGAAAAUCAAUGCCACCCCAAACCUUUAUACUAAUUGCAGGACCAGUGUGGCAUAACGCUAGAGUUCCACUGCUUUUCACCACGGUGUCUCUAAACUCGAAUCUGACCAUUAUUAUUUCGCAGUCUGAAGAGUUGAGAAUCCUUGUUAUAAAAGAUAAAAAGAUCGCCAGCUAAGCAUAAGGUAUAGUCAGACAUUUGAAAAAAAGUUUCAAGAUGUGAGUUUUCAAGACUCAGGAUGUGCGUUUUCCUACCACUAUAUUUAUAAAUGAGGACCUGCUAAAGAAAAAGUGGAAGAGGGAAGUAUUCUUACGACUUGAUCCGAAGAGCGGUUCAUGCUCACCUUGUGGAUCGGAGGAGCCUUUCAGCCAUCUCAGAGCAGUAUGAAAUCCCUGUACGCAGCCCGGCUAGAUUUUGUCAGAAAACACGGGAAAAGUAUGGUGCUGUUGUUCGCAUUGAUGUACCCACUGACGAUCUACGUGGAUAUCAAGCUCCCAGGCGGGUUACGAAAUCAAAGAAUAUUACAAAUAAGAAACGUUCAGUGAGGGAAGAGAUUAGUAGCACUGAAUGUGAUGACCUUUGUCUAAUACUAUACCGUAUGCAGAAAGUGAGGAUAGCUAUUGUUCCUUGUUUCCCUAGUAAAAUGAUAAGAAUAAAGAUGAGUCGAUUACUUUUGGAUGUGAUCUGCCCCAACCAACACGUUCUACACAGCUCCUACCACCUGCAGAUUAGACAGAAUUAAAUCCGGCAAUUGGAGUUGAUUCCUACCAUAAAGGUGAUUAUGUGGUAGUAAAUUAUGGAGUCCGCAAAUAUCGAGGAAAAAUACUGGAAGUCGAUAACGAGGACUUUUUAAUCUCCACUAUGGUGAAAAUUAUACAAUAUUGGAAGUGACCAGAGCCACUCGACACAGUCUGGUACCCGGGG